rnacentral:tRNA from 1 species
GGGUAUAUAGCCCAAGUGGCAGAGCACAUGCUUAGCAUGCAGGAGGCCCUGGGUUCAAUCCCCAGUGCCUCCA